GAUGAACGCUGGCGGCGUGCCUAACACAUGCAAGUCGAACGGAGAUACGCGGAAUGCGGACUUGUCCAAAUGAAGCGUAUACUUAGUGGCGGACGGGUGAGUAACGCGUGGAUAACCUGCCUUUUUCUGGGGGAUAGCAGUUGGAAACGACUGGUAAUACCGCAUGAGCUCAGCUUUGGGCAUCCAAGGAUGAGGAAAGAUUUAUCGGGAAAAGAUGGAUCCGCGGUCUGAUUAGCCAGUUGGCGGGGUAACGGCCCACCAAAGCAACGAUCAGUAGCCGGCCUGAGAGGGUGAACGGCCACAUUGGGACUGAGACACGGCCCAGACUCC
rnacentral:rRNA from 1 species